rnacentral:rRNA from 1 species
AGUGAACGCUGGCGGUAGGCCUAACACAUGCAAGUCGAACGGCAGCACAGUAAGCGCUUGCUCUUACGGGUGGCGGGUGGCGGACGGGUGAGGCAUACAUCGCAAUCUACUUUUUCGUGGGGAAUAACGUGGAGAAACUUACGCUACUACCUCAUACGACCUACGGGUGAAAGCAGGGGAUCUUCGCACUUUGCGCGUUUCAAUGAGCCGAUGUCGGAUUAGCUAGUUGGCGGGGUAAAGGACCACCAAGGCGACGAUGCGUAGCUGGUCUGAGAGGAUGAUCAGCCACACUGGAACUGAGACACGGUCCAGACUCCUACGGGAGGCAGCAGUGGGGAAUAUUGGACAAUGGGCGCAAGCCUGAUCCAGCCAUACCGCGUGGGUGAAGAAGGCCUUCGGGUUGUAAAGCCCUUUUGUUGGGAAAGAAAAGCAGCAGGUUAAUACCCCGCUGUUCUGACGGUACCCAAAGAAUAAGCACCGGCUAACUUCGUG